rnacentral:misc_RNA from 1 species
CAUCAUUGUGUGACCUGAGGUUUUGUUUAACAAAUCAAACAUCUCCAGAUUCAACGGUGAAACUGUUGAAAGGGAGGAAAAUGCAAUAUCAAGCCAAGAAAAUUAGAUCAGAAAGUAAAGAACUAGAGAAGCAGAACAAGGAAGUAAAUAACAAUGAAGAGGAAGAAGAAGAUGAGGUAGGCUUUGUGACUCUUGUUCGGUUCACUGAAGAUAACCCAACCGGAAGGGCAACAGCUCUACUCAAUUGGAAGUUACUGAUAAUUGAAGUAUUGCCUGAAG